AACAGCAACUCCAAUGUCAGAGAAGCUGUGUUUUACGAUAUGAACGUCAACAGAGAGAGAAAUCUGACGAAGUGAUUGAGGACAUACUGACUCAUCACCGUGACCCUGAAAGUAUUUACAGAGAGUGCCAGCAACGUUGUCAGAGACAAGAACAUGGACAGCAGAGACAGUGCCAACAACGUUGUGAGCAGGAGUAUCGGAGAGAACAAGAACAACAACAUCGUGGCCACCAGAGUGGAGAAGAUAAUCAAGGACGAGAAGGUAUGGUGUUUGUAGUUACUCAUCUAUUUUAUUUUACGCUGACAGAAUAGAAAAAGGGUUUAUUUAUCACGUUGCAUAUAUUAUUUAAAAGUAUUUUGACUUUUACUAUUGUUUACAUAAUUUUAAAUAUAAGAUUUAAAAUUUUAUUUUCAAACUCAACUGAAAAUAUAGUUAUUUUGAAUAUCGUACAUCGGACCAUGCCAUAUAAAGUGGCAUGGAGGGAAAAUAGUUAAUUAAUUUGGUUUUCGUUCUCCAAAGUCAUAUAAAGUGGUUCAUUACAGAGGUGUCAUUUAAUUUGUAAUAUACAGUACUGCCUCGGUGAACCUAUUUUUUUGUCUGUUUAAAAAAUAAUGAUUCUUUUUUAAAUUUGAAAACAACUUUAUUUAAAACUUAUAAUUCUAGCCUUAAUGAGAAAUUUUUUUAACCACACAAAUACCAUGAUUCUUUUUAAAUUGUUAAGAAUCACAAAUUUUAAUUUUUUUUUUUUUAACUUCGUACUCAGUCAAAUAAGUUCACAUAAAUUGAAACAGAGAAAGUAUUUAAUACCCGUAAUUGGUAAUAUAUGCAAUAACCAUGUAUAUUUCAUCGGUACAGUGUCAAAAUUAAGAAAUUUGGAUCUUGAAAAUCCCAAAGUAUCACAUAAAUUUGGGACAUAGGUUAAAAUUAAAUUUGGGCUAUAGGUCAAAAUAAAGAAGUUUGAAGUUUGAAUCUAAAAUUAAGAAGUAUCCCAUAAAUUUGGGACAAAGGAGUGUGUGUAUAUAUAUAUAUGUAUACAUAUAUGAAAUUCGGCCGUACAUCUAUGCUUUAUAGCAUUUCUUAAAUUCUGUUUUAUUCUAUUUCUUUCCUAGUAGGUCGUACGCAGCGUGAACCUGAGAGGAGAUUCAGAGAGUGCCAACAGAGAUGUCAACGACAAGAACAGGGCCAACAGCAGAGACAGUGCCAACAACGUUGUGAGCAAGAAUACAGGAGAGAGCA
rnacentral:lncRNA from 1 species